UCCGUCCUUUCGCAGUGAAAAAAAAACCACGGGGGUAACGGUCGCAGGCGCCAUAACCGUGUUUUACUGCAGAUCCCGCCGUCCUUUGUUACUCCGCAAUGAAACUUUUGUCAGUUCGGUGGUGCGUACUUAGCUACGCAACCCAAAAUGGAAUGCUAAUGUGUCUGCUGGAUUUUUUGGGUCCAUAAGGCUGGGGGGAGGGGGGUGGGGUUUACUCGGUCAAGUCGGGAUCGGAAUGUGCUUGCCCGCAUUUGUUUGGGAAGACCACAUUCGUAAAUGAAGGGUUUCUUGGUAUCGUUGGCAUUGCCCCACGUUGCUACUACCUAGCAGAGAGGAAAGAAUUUCGAACAACGUGGACAACUCUCAUGCAACCCACAAUUUUGUCGGGUGGUUUCUCAGAAAUUAAGGUCAUUAAGAACAAAAUUACAGAGAACGAACAUUCAGGUAUGUAAACCCAGCAUACAAACGCGUGUUCCUUCUUUUCAUCAUCUCGACUAAUGGUGAUCCGAGGUGGUUCCGGUGAAGCUCCGUUGCGCGGAUGUCCAUGCAGAGUGGUGAGCUCGUGGUAUCACGUGGGUCAGCUCACCUUACGUCCUGAGGAAGCUGGGAAUGCAGCCAUGACACUGCGGCAGCACACUCAUGGGGCGCUUCACCAACCCGCAGCAUUGAGUUGGACGCAAGGCGAGUAGCGUCCUCAUUUUUUCAUCGUAGUUGAGAGGAUUCUGUCGGAAGAAUUCCCUGCGUCAGGCACGAGUACGCUCCAGUCGCGUUCUUGCGCGUCAAGUUAGUUCAUUCUCUUCGUCUCUUCUGACCCACGUAACGAAUUGGCAUUCAAGCGUUGUAUCGUUUCGCAAUGUAUGGGAAUAAUUUGGGUUUUUGAAACUGGAACAAGAUUGAUAAUUGGAUGAUUCGAAGCAUAUCAGGCAAGUGGAGUGCGGCUUUUGGUAACAAGUUAUAUUUUGGGGCUCGCCAAGAUCCAAACCCUGCUUCAAUGAGUGAAGAAAAUCGUAUUUCUGUAUUAAUUAACAACGAUUAGUUUCAAACGAUCGCAAUCGUUCUCAAUGACGAUGGAAAGUCAUGACAUCGUGCGAAUCAAACCUCGUGACUUUUGAGGGGAAGGCUUAGCAUUCAGCAGUAAUUUGAAAUUAGAUGCAAUGGGAAACUUGAGCACUUAAGAUUAUACAACGGAGAGAAAGGUCGAGAGUGAAAAGUGCUCGGAUAGUGUUACAAGAGCAGGGAGGUACGUUCUAAGGAGGUUCAUGGCUGGCAAUCACUCCCAGGCCUGCCAUGGCUUCUGCCCAACUCGGCGACCAUAACGACGAAGGUGGCAGAUAGGGUUAAGACGUUGGCUCUAGAAAGAGGCACAAUGUCCCUGGUACUCUUGUUUCCGCGUGAUUUGAGAUGAUUUUGCUUCGCCCUACCAUUGGAAUCAACAAGCUCCGCAUUCCGGAUUUCUUCGUGCCAUUUCUAUAAGCGCAUGGAGUCACUGAUGUUGUUAGCCAUUUGCUCAGCCGAUGCCUACGUGUUCGUCGUUAGCAGCUACUAUUUUUUCUGAAGAUGAUGAUGCUAUUUGAUAGCCACUCAGCACAUGUGAAGUGCAGACUCCUAAUAUUUUUUUCCAACUUUAAUCCUGUUUUAUCUUAAACUCCUAGACUUGGACGCAUAUAUUUACAUUGCAGAUAAAGGUUUUCAAUUUUGAUUAGAAAGCAAUUUGUUCCUCUCAACACAUGGUGAAAUAGUUGAUUAGUUACAAGUAGAGGCUGUUAAAGUGCACACACGGCUGCUGUAGGUGUGCGCUCCGUUUUAUGCGCAGAAGUUGCCAUGAACAAUCACUUCUUGCUGCGAGGAGAGCGGCCAGCAUUUGCUAUUGGGAAUUAUCGGGUGGUAGAAUGGCCCCAGGUAAGGUUGUUGGUGGAACGGAAGGAAAGUAGCCAGCUUGAACGAGAAUGCUGGUGACUGCCAUGUCGGAUUAGGUUCCGAAGACAAUCUCGUUACCUGCAGAUAUUUUUUGUCAUUGAUCAUAGAAACAUGAACUUGUUGAGCUUAGUUUCUAGAAAUUUGUUGAGCUGAGAGAUCAAUGUGUCUCUUGCAGUAAUUACUUUUCUGCCGUUAAAUUCUCUUUCUUAUCUGGUUGUCCUUGCUGAGAGAAUCUGUAAAUUCUUGGAUCGAUUCAGUUCGUAGAUUUCUUGUGGCAGCCGUGUACAUUUGGGAAGAAAGAGCGGUUUGCGUAUCAUUGUCAAUUAUGGAAGCGGAACCACAGCCAUCGGGCUGGGUGUUGACAUUGCUGCUCGCAGAGGGUGCGUGGCAUCACUCCCUCGUCUGAACUAGCUAAUUUCGUUAUGUGGUUUAUCUUAUGAAUUGACUGAAUGAUCAAAUUACUUUCAGUUUUACUCAGCAGGCUUUCUUGGCUAGUGGUAAGAGUGAUGCUUGCAGACACUCAAGUCCGUUUCAGACUUAAAAACCGGACUAAAUUGUAAGCUUUCUACUUGGAUUUAACUCCAAUUUUAACCUCUUGUGUCGGUUGAAAUGUUGUCCAUUCCAUGGUCUGAAACGGACUUUAAGUUAUCGAGAAGCAGUUUGCUAGGAUUAUGUCUGAAUGUACUCAGGAAUUCCAUGCACGUAAUCGGGAGGUGUACUUGUGGUUUGGCUCGCAUAAUGCAGAUGGAGACAGUUGUGUCAGUUUGUUUGCCGCCUUCCAAAAAAAUUAUGUUGUGUAGUGCAAGUGCAAGUGCAAGCGUAUAGAUGGAUUUUCAUAGAAUGGCCGUCCCUCUUGCAAGAAAUUGACACAUUUCUGUUUCACUGGAUAGCAGUCGACCGAAGCUGUCAUCAUUAGUGAAAAAUCUUCACCAAUAACACUAAUCUCCUAAAUCAUCAGGUACCAGCCACAAAUGUACAUGCAUUGCUCAAACAGUGGUGGUAGCUGAUCGGAUUCGGCAUCCUGGAACUAUUAACUGUAAUUGAGUAAUCAGAUACGGUGUUAACAUACCCACUUGUGUCGCUUUAUGAGAAAGUUAACCUCGAAUAUUUAUUUUCCCGAUGCCUUUCAAGGCAGUGAUGUGAACAUCACUUUUGAGUUCUCUAUCUUCCUCUCUCUCCCUCUCCAUAUGGGUACUCCAGACACUUGCAUCGUGUUUGAUUCUAGCCACACGUCAUCCCUACUCACGAGUUGUUGUGUGGAAGUUUUGUGUGAGAUGUUGCAGUCUCUACAGCGAGCAUCGAACUGCACCCUUGUGGAUCACUUUCUGAUGCGGUAAAUGGUCUCAAUCUUUCGCACACUACAUGCUUUUUGAAUGACGGAUCAAGGAUAAGUCAGCGAGGGCCUCUGUACAGAUACCUGGCGUUCAAGACGUGCUGGAGUUUGAAUGCCUUCAUUGCUGCUUGCCACAACACAGCAAUAUUCUGUAGUUCUAUUUUAGCACUGAUUCUGCAAGUGUUGGCCUCCUGGAACCUUGUCUAGACGAUGAUGUCCUUGUAUUUUCUUCCUGGUGGUAGUGAUGUAGUAGCGGCAACCACUCGCUACAGGAAACUGUAGAUACAGGGAUUCCAUUUUAUUUUUAUUUUUAUUGUUUAUUGUUUAUGAUCUGCAUUUCCAUUAUGGCCAGCUCUUGACUUGAGAAUCUUAAAUUUUUUAGAAUCUUUUUUUCGCUAAGAUGUUAGUACCCUGAUUUUUGAAGUGUUCAAGAACACCUAUAAUUUAAUAAGAUCAAUGUAUAAAACUGUGAUUAUUGUGUAUUA